rnacentral:rRNA from 1 species
CAGCCCUUGACAUGGCAGGACGAUUUCCGGAGACGGAUCUCUUCACUUCGGUGACCUGCACACAGGUGCUGCAUGGCUGUCGUCAGCUCGUGUCGUGAGAUGUUGGGUUAAGUCCCGCAACGAGCGCAACCCUCGCCCUUAGUUGCCAUCAUUCAGUUGGGCACUCCAAGGGGACUGCCGGUGAUGAGCCGGAGGAAGGUGGGGAUGACGUCAAGUCUUCAUGGCCCUUACGGGCUGGGCUACACACGUGCUACAAUGGCGGUGACAGAGGGCUGCUAGAUCGCGAGAUCAUGCUAAUCCCUAAAAGCCGUCUCAGUUCGGAUUGCACUCUGCAACUCGGGUGCAUGAAGUCGGAAUCGCUAGUAAUCGCAGAUCAGCACGCUGCGGUGAAUACGUUC